AUUUUAGCUGAAGAGUUGAGUACAAAUUAAUAGGUCUCAGAGAAUUUCCGGUUGGUGUGAAGGAAUGACUGAUGUAAUUUGGAAUAUGGACUUGGAGCAAUUGUUGAUGAAUACUUAAUCAACAACGGGGUAGUAUUCGUUAUCAAUACCAACUUUAUUAAGUUGUUGAGGUUGUUUCAGCGAUGAAACAACAAACUAAGGUGGUAUCACGAAAGCAUUCGUCCUUUAU
rnacentral:ncRNA from 1 species